GUUUAACAGAGGAAGCACUCACAGGAUACCUACUGGGCCGUACCUGACUCUAUAGAACUGAAGAAGCCCAAGGAGACUGAGGUCAUUAAUGAACACUUGACUGCAAAUAAGCUGUAAAUCCAGACAAAACAGAGAUGCUGCUCCUGAGCCGAAUCUGACGGAGCCAUCAGAUUCUCAGUCCGAUCGCCAUGUUGUGAGAACCCGGAAGCCGGGAGAGUGACUUUUGGAUCCCUAGAGGCUACUUAAUAUCUGCAGGCAAUUCAUAAUACAUAUUUCCA